UUUUUUUUCAUUUUAUAGUACAUAAAAAAAGCUUUAAUUUGAUAUAUGUUUAAAGGACGCAGUAUUUCCGGAACAUUUUCAAAAGUUCAGUUGAAAAAGUUCUAUUUUUUAUUCAAUGUUUCAAAGUUUGAACCCCCCCUAUAUAAGGGGAAAUUGUCUAAUUUUAAUAAAAAGUAUGUCAAAUGGAAGAUGUACUUAUAAUGUAUUUAGAAAAAAAAAAAUGUGCUGAUACAUGCAUUUUUCGAAAAGUUAUAGCAUUUUUAAUUUGAAAAUUAAAAAUCGAAAAUCGAAAAUUUUAACACAAAAAUAGUGUUUUUUUAACUACGGCAACCGUUUACAUGCAGAAGAUAAAGUGUCGGGACAAAUUUUUUUUUUUCAUUUUAUAGUACAUAAAAUAAGCUUUAAUUUGAUAUAUGUUUAAAGGACGCAGUAUUUCCGGAACAUUUUCAAAAAUUAAGUUGAAAAAUUAGUUUUUGUAAAAAAGUUGCAAUUUUAAAUCCCCCCCCAUGAGCAGGUUAAGUGUUAAAUUUUCAAAAAAAUUAUAUCAAAUGAAAGGAAAAUAUCUAAGGUUUUAGUUUAAAAAAAAAUUAUGUUGAUUUGUUGAUUUUUGAAAAAGUUAUGGAAGUUUUAAGAAAAAAAAGUGAAAAAAAUGACAAAAUUUGUCGAUUUUUAAAUUUGUAAUUUUUUUGGAUAUUUCCCCCAUUUGCGGGGAACGAGGGAAAAUUUUUAAAUUUUUAAGGGUAAUGUCUUCAACUAGAUACAAUUUGUGAUCUUUUGACGUAUUGUUAAAAGAAAUCGGUCCAGUGAGAGCUGAGAAAAAGUAGUGACAGACACAAAAAAAAAAAAAAAAAAAAAAAAAAAAAAAUAAAAAAAAAAAUAAA